UGCUUGGGUAGCUCAGUUGGUAGAGCACUUGCCCGCAAAAGGCAAAGGUCCCGAGUUCAAGUCUCGGCCUGGCAC
rnacentral:tRNA from 1 species